ACUGCUCUUUCCAUUUUUAAUUCCCACUUCCUAAACCUAAUUCCAUCUUUCUUACUUCUCUUUCCCUUAGAGAGAGACCACCACCCCUCUUUUAUUCUCUCCACCGCACCUCCGCCACUUCUCCAGAAAACCACCAGCAAUCAGGAGACCCCGCCUCCCUCUCCAUCUCUCCUUCCUCUUACCGUCUCCCUUUCCGGUCGGUUAAGACCUCGCAAGGCAGUCGUACCCCCUUCCCCUCACUCGUUCCCUCUCUUUUGUCUCCGUCCUCUUCUCGUUCUCUCCGGUGCGAAAUGGCCUGUGGCAAGAACAUGCAAACAUAUAGCUGCCGCUCCAGUCAUCUUUGACCACCCAUAUCAACGCCGCCUCCCUCAUAUCUUUCUCCUCUCUGUCGAGGUUGACAGGAAGCAUGCAACAGGAGCAUUGUUGCUCCACUAGCUAACUUGGGCAAGACAAAAGACAAAGCAAUUUCGACUUGGGUUUAGACGGAUCUGUAACAGAUCUAUCCAGGAAUCGGUGUUGCCCCACACUCUCCUCCUUAUGGCUAGAUUGAUCGUCGGAAGCUACUACUAGUGUCAUAAUGGCCUCCCCAAGUUUUGCUAACACCCAGAUGGUUGUAGGAGUAAGCCACAAGCUAAGAGAUUGGUGGAAAGAAAUAAAAAAAGACCGUGAAUUGGAGUUUCACAGCUUAUUAGGUGGCCUCACCUACCUCAGCCUCGUAAUUCCAGAUUGCUACUUGAUUAAAGCAUUGUUAAAGUUUUGGGAACCUGCAAGGACAGUUUUUAAGUUUCGUGAUUUCGAGUUAACGCCAACACUAGAAGAAAUUGGUGGAUUCCUUAACUUGUCCUAUCAGAAACACGAUAUGAUUAUACCUCAUAAAAAUCACCAAAGAAAUUCCUAAAUACUCUAGGGUUGAAAUACAAUCCAAAUUUAGCUUGUUUAGAUUUUCAAUGGAUAUCUCUAAAUUUUUUGUAUUCAUGUUUUGGUCGUAGAGAUGGUCACAAAGUGUUCAAUCAAGAAUUUGCAUUCUCAGCUAAAAAAUGGAAAAGAAAUAGUCUAAAUGCUUUUGCUAUUGCAUUAUUGGAUUGUUUGUUUUUUCCCAGAGAAAGGGGGAAGAUAGACACCUCUUGAGUUUUGUGGUUCGUGCUUUAUCUAGGGGGAUGGACAAUAAUAGGGUAACCCUAGUGCCUAUGAUAUUGAUAGAGAUGAUGAGAAGUUUGUCAGCAUGUGUCAGAGGUAGAAUAUUUUUUGAAGGGUGUAACUUUUUAUUGCAACUAUGGGCAGUCGAGCACUUUUAUAAAAGGUGCAAUUUGAUAGAUUUUUUGAAUGGUAUGGGCAAUAGAAUUGCUAUUCACCCAACAAGAAUGACAGAUUUUCUUGCCCCAGUUGGUACAGAAGACUGGUUUGCAUUUCUAAAGGAACUCUCUGGCUGCCACAUUCAAUAGAAAUAAUUUUGGUUGAACAAUCGUCAUGACAUAGUAAGAGAUGAUGAGCUUUACUUUAUUGAGCUUAUUGGUCUAAAGGGCGUUCAACCAUAUGCUCCUCUUUAAGUACUCUGCCAAUUUAGGAAGAAUCAAAUGAUACUAUUGCAAUCCAACAUGGGUAACUAUGAGUAUCAUUUUGGAUAAGAUUUUCCACAUAUCCACAACAUACUGCGAAGGUGGGAGAGAGUAAUAACCAUUGACAUUCACGUGCAACAACCCUUCUGUACGAAUACUACGUGUGGAUCUUAGAGGAUGCUGAAGACAGAGAUUUGAGUGAAGAGGCCCCCCCUGGAUUUGCUGACGAAAGAGAGAGAAUCUGGGCACACAAUUUGUUGAACUAUCAAUAUGAUGGUACCCCAGAGAUGCAAGAGAAGAUUGUGCCCAACUGAAGACCAGAGUUUUUGAAGUUUUUUUCCUAGGAUUAUUUCCCUUAUCCCUUUCCUUAGUGUUAUGUUUUUUCUUAUUUUCAUUUCCUUCAAUGAUGUACUAGUUCAAAUUUAUCAAUGAAUUAAAUAGUUUACUUUUCAUA